AUGGAUAGGGAGAUUCCAGCCUUAAUGGGUGUUUCGAAGGCUAUAUUGGAUAAUGUUAUAUUUGUGCACCAAGACGAAUCCAAUUGGCCGUUACAGGACCCGUCAACACUUAAGAAAAAGUUUGACGACAUCUUUUCUGCUACCCGCUAUACCAAAGCUCUCGAAGUCAUAAAGAAACUUCAGAAGGACCAAGCACAAGAAAUCAAGACUUUUAGGUUAAAGCUGGAGAACCUUCAAACUCUUAAAGAUCAAGUAUACAGGCUUCGGGACAGUAUUGCGCAAGAUCAAGAGAAGUCAGAUGCCUUAAAAACUCAAAUGGAGGACCUGAAAACAAACAUCCAGGCUGUCGAAAACAAAAUCCGUCGUACCGAAACAAGUAUCAUGGACUUGAGGAGACUUCAGGAGCAAAUUAGCACCAAGGCAACAGCUAGAAGUACAUAUUUAACACUUCAGCAGCAACAGUAUGCUGCCCUUUCUGAGGAAAAUGAAGAUACCGAUGAGGAACUGAGGGAGUGGCAAACAACAUUUGAAGAAAAAAUUACGAUACUGUAUACGAAAAUCGGUAAACUUGAACGAGAGAUGAAUGAUGAAUAUACAAAAAUCUCUCUGCUAUCUGAGACCAUCAAUGAUUCAACACGUCAAAUAGGGAAGCUCCAGGCAGAAGCUGAUGCUCACGUGUCGGUCAAGCACGAACGAGACUCAGCCAUCAGAAAGAUAUUCAAUAAAUAUAAUCUCGGGCCAAUUCCUGAUGCUCCUUUUACUAAUGAUAUUGCUGCGAACCUUACAUACAGGACUAAAGCAAGACUAUCGAAUCUCGAGGACGAUUUGCAGGAAAAGAAGAAAUCUAAUGAGACACAGUUAGAGUUUCUUUGGGGACGUUAUCUCAAAGUAAAUGCUCGCUACUCUGAAGUUGAUGGCCAGAUACAAUCUAAGAAAGAAUCUAAGAUAGGUGUUUUAAGGCGUAUGAAAGAUAAAGAGACUGAACGAGAUGCUGCAGAGAUGGAGCUUUCAAAGCAUAAUCUGGCCCGUAUUGAUGAAAGAGAUCGGCAUUUGCAAAUUGAGGUCGAGAAGAGGACAAUUGCCUUGGGAGAAAGAGACUACGAUUUGAUUAUAAGUCAGAAGCGCCCAGAGAUAUAUGCCUUGGACCACAAGAUAAAAGCACUUCACCGGGAGAAAGAUAACAUAACUACUGAUGCUGAUGACAGAGUAAAAUUAGAACUGAAGAAGGAUGAAUUGGAAAAGUGCAAGAAGAAACUUAAAAAGAUAUAUGAUGAACACAAGGACAAAUUUAGAAGUGUUCUUAAGGGGAGGCUUCCUUAUGAGAAGGAUGUCAAGAAGGAGAUUACUCAAGCUUUUGGGUUUGUAGACGCGGAAUACAAUGAUUUGAGCUCAAAAUCUCUGGAAGCGGAACAGCAGUUGAAAUUGGCACAAAUGAAAAUUUCUGCUGCUAGAAGCCACUUGUCAAAGCUCCAAAAAGAUUUGGACGCAAAAAGAAACCAUCUGAAUUCGAAACUUCAACCCAUUACUAAGGUAUCUGUUGACAUCAACACUUACCCCAAGAUUCUGAAAGAUGCCAUGGACGACAGAGAUAAACAAACAAAUACGUACAAUUAUGCAAAGGGAAUGCGGCAAAUGUAUGAACCUUUUGAAAAAGUGGCCCGCCAGCAGCACAAGUGUCCUUGCUGUGAUCGUGCUUUCACACCUGAUGAAGAGGACCUCUUUGUAAAGAAGCAAAGGACUACAGGUACAAGUACCGCAGAGCGCCUGAAUGUACUGGCAAUCGAAUUAUCAAAUGCUGAAGAGUUUUUCGAUCAAUUGGAUAAUCUCCAUGUGGUUUAUGAUGAAUAUGUGAAACUGGGGAAAGAGACCAUACCUUUAGCAGAGAAGGAUUUGGAACAACUUUUGGCAGAUGAAAGUGAGAAGGCGCAGAUAUUCGAAGACCUUGUGAGUGCUCUUGCUCAAGUUAAAAUGGACAGGGAUGGAGUCGAAGUCUUGUUACAUCCAGUUGAUACUAUCAACAGGCAUGUGCAAGAAAUACAGGAGUUAGAACCACAAGUCAAAGAUCUUGAGUAUAAGCUUGAUUCUCGUGGCCAAGGUGUUAAAUCUGUCGAGGAAAUCCAGUUGGAGCUGAACUCUGUGCAGAGGGCAAGGUAA
rnacentral:rRNA from 1 species